UUGGUGGCUUCGUAGGUGGGGUGAUCACUGGUGGCUUAGGCGGUAGGGUUGGUGGUGUAGGAGGUUUUAUAGGCGGAGUUACCACAGGAGGUUUAGGAAUAUACGGUGGUGACGAUGGUGGUGUUACAGGCGGAUUUGGUGGGUAAACAAUAGGUGGUUUUGGUACAAAAGGUGGUGGGUUCACUACAGGAGGUUUUGGUACAAAAGGUGGUGGGUUCACUACAGGAGGUUUUGGUACAAAAGGUGGUGGGUUCACUACAGGAGGUUUUGGUAUAUAGGGAGGACGAACGAUCGGAGGUUUGGGAAUGGUGGGUGGUUUGACAAUGGGUGGUUUAGGGACAUGGGGAGGUUUGGGAUGGGGUGGCUUGACAUGAGGAGGCUGUUUUGGUGGUUUAGGGUGAAAGGGUGGCUUUACUUUUGGAGGGUGUCUCGGUGGGUAUUUAGGAGGAUGCCCGGGCGGUGGCUUAGAGGGUGGAGUUGGGUAUGGACAGUAAGGGCAAGCAAGAGAAGUGAGCAAAGUGCCCAAGUUUAGAA
rnacentral:lncRNA from 1 species